rnacentral:rRNA from 1 species
AGAUUGAACGCUGGCGGCAUGCCUUACACAUGCAAGUCGAACGGCAGCACGGGGGCAACCCUGGUGGCGAGUGGCGAACGGGUGAGUAACAUAUCGGAACGUGCCCUGGAGUGGGGGGAUAACUAGUCGAAAGAUUAGCUAAUACCGCAUACGAUCUACGGAUGAAAGUGGGGGAUCGCAAGACCUCAUGCUCGUGGAGCGGCCGAUAUCUGAUUAGCUAGUUGGUGGGGUAAAGGCCUACCAAGGCAUCGAUCAGUAGCUGGUCUGAGAGGACGACCAGCCACACUGGGACUGAGACACGGCCCAGACUCCUACGGGAGGCAGCGAGGUGGGGAAUUUUGGACAAGUGGGCGCAACGCCUGACUCCAGCAAUCGCCGACGUGAGUAGAAGGAGGCGUUCGGUAGUAAGUC